UACGUAGGUGGCGAGCGUUGUCCGGAUUUACUGGGCGUAAAGAGCGCGCAGGCGGGGAAGUAAGUCAGAUGUGAAAUCCCGGAGCUCAACUCCGGAACAGCAUUUGAAACUGCUACUCUAGAGGGUAGGCGGAGAAAACGGAAUUCCACAAGUAGCGGUGAAAUGCGUAGAUAUGUGGAAGAACACCAGUGGCGAAGGCGGUUUUCUAGCUUACACCUGACGCUGAGGCGCGAAAGCAAGGGGAGCAAACAGG
rnacentral:rRNA from 1 species